rnacentral:misc_RNA from 1 species
CACGCCCCCAUUACUACGCCUUCAUGACGUUACCAUGGUCACCAUGACGUCACCUUGCUUUGUAGUCCGAAUCGGACAUAGCAAAUGUGUGGGGUUUUGCAAUUUAUUGGGUCCGCCUUGGACUACUUGCUUCGAUUAGCCUAUACGGGGAAACAUGUCGGGAAUACUAAUUCAUCUGACAUUACAGGCGCGGAUAGGCAUACAAGGAGACAGCGCUGCGUAACCCCUCCUCGAAAUUUGAAGUGCCCCGGUAAAAAAAGAAAUGUUUAGCAGCAACCGCUAAAAUUUAGGUCAGACACGCCCGUGGCCUAACUAUGAGAUACACCACGGGUAAAAUCAAAGGGACCGACACCAAAGCGUGGUACAAGGUCUAUUGGACGUGAAAUAAUAGAUACUGAGAACGCAAUAGCAAUCACAGCAGGUAGGAGGUAGAGUACACGGGUAAUUUGUGCUAAGACACUGCAUAUUACAACGGUUUGCAAUACCGGUACAUUAGUUUCUUUGAAUUCUAUGUUCACAUUUUUGAAGUGUUAGAUAGUUGUUAAAGUUAUUCUCGUAAUGUUUAAUAAAGUUACCAGUUGAAUAUAGAAACAUAAAAUUAAAAUGUUAGUGUUCCUCAACUUAUUUUAAUUAGUAUAUUUUCAACGUUGAAUGUUAUUUUUUUUACUACUUACAGAGCUGAAUACAGCUAAAAUAAAAACUUGCAAUUUGUGAAGGGUCUUUCAUUAUAUUGCCUGGAUUAACAGAUCUUUGGAACGCUAGCUUUAAAUAUGUGUUCGGUUUACUAUUGGUCCAUGUGACGAGAUCCCAAA